GAGUUUGAUCCUGGCUCAGAUUGAACGCUGGCGGAAUGCUUUACACAUGCAAGUCGAGCGGCAGCGCGGGGCAACCUGGCGGCGAGCGGCGAACGGGUGAGUAAUGCAUCGGAACAUGUCCAUGUCGUGGGGGAUAGCCCGGCGAAAGCCGGAUUAAUACCGCAUACGCCCGAGAGGGGAAAGUGGGGGACCGCAAGGCCUCACGCGAUUGGGUUGGCCGAUGUCCGAUUAGCUAGUUGGCGGGGUAAGAGCCCACCAAGGCGAUGAUCGGUAGCUGGUCUGAGAGGAUGAUCAGCCACACUGGGACUGAGACACGGCCCAGACUCCUACGGGAGGCAGCAGUGGGGAAUUUUGGACAAUGGGGGAAACCCUGAUCCAGCCAUUCCGCGUGAGUGAAGAAGGCCUUCGGUUGU
rnacentral:rRNA from 1 species